UACGAAGGGGGCUAGCGUUGCUCGGAAUCACUGGGCGUAAAGCGCACGUAGGCGGAUUUCUAAGUCAGGGGUGAAAUCCUGGAGCUCAACUCCAGAACUGCCUUUGAUACUGGGAAUCUCGAGUCCGGGAGAGGUGAGUGGAACUGCGAGUGUAGAGGUGAAAUUCGUAGAUAUUCGCAAGAACACCAGUGGCGAAGGCGGCUCACUGGCCCGGUACUGACGCUGAUGCGCGAAAGCGUGGGGAGCAAACGGG
rnacentral:rRNA from 1 species